UUAGUGUCUGUCUCUUUCCUUUUCGCCCCCAUGCAGAUGAAGUGAAUUUACUGGACAAACUGACUUCUUCCGCCCGGGACUUCAGCAAUAUUUCCCUUAGUUAUGAUGAAGCCAACUGCAGCGUCUUGGAGGUUGGACAGUAUUCCACCCUCAGCAUCCCCACCCGGGAGGCCUUUGGGGACAGGUUUGCAGAUGAUCUGAGCGUGUUGCUGAAACUUAAGUAUUCUCUGAAGGAGGAGACCAGCCUCUUGACGAUCCUCAGUCAUCGUAGCCAUGUGCUGUUCCAGAUCAGGAUUAACCCCCUUGCCUUGGUCUUUGUCACCACUAGGAGGAGACAUUAUGAGUUCCCAGUUUCCAUCCUGGGGGAUGGGGACUGGCACCAGGUUGCCCUCAGCAUCUCCUCCGAGAGAUUGGAGCUGCACGUGGACUGUCAGCUGGUGGAGAGUGUGGGCUGGUCCAAUUACUUUGGGAUGAGCGUCACCACGCAGGGGCUGGUCAUUCUUGGAGGCCUGAUUGAAUCCUUUGAGAUUCCCUUUGAGGUGAGAAUUUGCUCCUCCUACACACAGAAUCUUCUCU
rnacentral:lncRNA from 1 species